UUGCAGUUAAAAAGCUCGUAGUUGGACUUGUGUGCGCUGUCCGCGGGUGGCCUGCGCCCAAAAGGGCGUUUCGGUUCGGCCCCGGUGGCGCCUUGAAAUCUGCAGCUGGGGGGACGUUGGCCUUAACUGGUCGGCGACCGCACGCCGGCCGCUCGGUUACUGUGAGAAAAUUAGAGUGUUCAAGACAGGCAUUGGGUGCAAUUGAAUACAUUAGCAUGGAAUAAUAAAAUAUGGCUCCUGCCGUAUUUUGUUGGUUUUGACUGGUGGGAGUAAUGAUUGAUAGGGACGGUUGGGGGUGCUAGUAUUGAGCGGCCAGAGGUGAAAUUCAUGGAUUCGCUCAAGACUAACUUAUGCGAAAGCAUUCACCAAGGACGUCCUCUUUAAUCAAGAACGAAAGUUGGGGGAUCGAAGACGAUCAGAUACCGUCGUAGUCUCAACCAUAAACUAUGUCGACUUGGGAUCGGCGGUAGUUUUUUCAUUAAGACACUGUCGGGACCACGGGAGAAAUCAAAGUGUCUGGACUCUGGGGGAAGUAUGGUCGCAAGGCUGAAACUUGAAGGAAUUGACGGAAGGGCACCACCAGGAGUGGAGCCUGCGGCUUAAUUUGACUCAACACGGGGAAACUUACCAGGUCCAGAGAUGUAGAGGAUUGACAGAUUGAAGCUCUUUCUUGAUCACUUCGGUGGUGGUGCAUGGCCGUUCUUAGUUGGUGGAGUGAUUUGUCUGGUUAAUUCCGUUAACGAACGAGACCUCAGCCUGCUAGUGUAGUCGGCUGGAUUGCCUUUGGCGAUCCGUGAUUUCGACUUCUUAGAGGGACAAUCGACGCGCAGUCGAUGGAAGUUUGAGGCAAUAACAGGUCUGUGAUGCCCUUAGAUGUUCUGGGCCGCACGCGCGCUACACUGCUGGGCUCAGCGAGUUUUACUUGGCCGAGAGGCCCGGUUAAUCUUGUGAAAUCCCAGCGUGCUUGGGCUCGCCUCCUGCAACUGGAGGCGCCAACGAGGAAUUCCUAGUAGACGCAGGUCAUCAACCUGCAUCGAUUACGUCCCUGCCCUUUGUACACACCGCCCGUCGUUCCAUAAGAGUGAGGCAUCCGGUGAAUUCUCGGGAGAGCCUGGGCGUGGCCAGCAAUGGUCUGCUCGGGUUUGAACUUGCAUAAACUUGGUGCCUAUGAUUAGGG
rnacentral:rRNA from 1 species